GGGCACGUAGCGCAGCCUGGUAGCGCACCGUCAUGGGGUGUCGGGGGUCGGAGGUUCAAAUCCUCUCGUGCCGACCA
rnacentral:tRNA from 1 species